CACUAUGGCUCCACACCACAUGGUUUUCACCUACUAUUAUACCAUAUUUUUGAGAAAAUAAUUUUGCCACGCAAACUCAUAAUUAAUUCAUUCACUUUUAAUUUAAGGAAAUUAAUAGUUCUAUAAAUUUGAGUGAUUUCAGGUCAAUUACAUUCCAUGCAAAACACACUGAUAAGAAGAAAAAAAUAUUCAUUCACAUAUCACUAUGGGAAAAAUCAGUGCUUCACUUGUUCUAAUUCUCCUUGUUGGGGCAAUGUUUCUUGAUGGUUAUGGUGCUGAGGGUGUUGGAACUGAUGUUUUGUCCUUCUAAGGAUCUGAAGUUUUGUCCUGGUAGCAGUGAGGCUCUUCACCAUGCAGGUCAUCUUCCAUGAUCAGAGAUAUAUAUUCAAGUCAUGGUUUGCUUGUGUGAGUUAUUAAUAUAUAUAUACCUAUAUGACUAUAUCUAUAUAUAAUAUAUCUAAAAUAAUAUUGUGAUGAGUAAGAGGGUAUUUUUACAUCACAACUUUAUAGCUAAAUAACCUUUAUGGGCAGGGCAGGGUCUCUUCUUGGGGUAUAUGUCUUGUGGCGGAGUGAUAUGAUAUAAUAUAAUAUAGUUUAUUUUUGUGUGUGAA